GCCGCUCUAGCUGAGAUGGAUUAGCGCGACACUGAAAAUGUCGAGAGGGGAGGUUCGAUACCACCGGGCGGCACCA
rnacentral:tRNA from 1 species